GAUCAUGGCUCAGGAUGAACGCUAGCAGCAGGCCUAAUACAUGCAAGUCGGACGGGAUCCAUCGGAGAGCUUGCUCGAAGAUGGUGAGAGUGGCGCACGGGUGCGUAACGCGUGAGCAACCUACCUCUAUCAGGGGGAUAGCCUCUCGAAAGAGAGAUUAACACCGCAUAACAUCAACAGUUCGCAUGUUCGGUUGAUUAAAUAUUUAUAGGAUAGAGAUGGG
rnacentral:rRNA from 1 species